AGCCGAAGCACACAUAUCCCACGGAUGUCUCCCUCUUCUCCCUGUACCUUAGCCGCCACUCUUCUUCUAUCCUCUGGUGCCAUGAGUCAUUUGCAGUUCUUCCUCCGAUGCUCCACCCCUCCCCUGCAGCUUCUCUGGCUGCCCCCACUUCGCGACUCCAAGGGCUGCUGACUUGCCGCCGCUGAAGUUCCCUUCCGCGGAGUCGCUGGGUGUGUAUGACCUACUCCAGGGGUUGUUGCUGCCGGUCGGGACGCUCGCCUGGAGGAGGCCGUCAGGAUGUCUGACACCCGAGAAAAGAGCCUCCAUGCCCGCCUCCUCUAGGUGAUAUCCAUUCGCUCAACCGUCCGCGAGAUUCCAUCUAGGGUUUUCAUCUGUUUGGCACCUGAUGAUGGAUGCUGGUGGUUCUUGUGUUUGCGAUUGAUGAUUGAAGGCGGAGGCGAGCAGGGAGAGGUGGAAGAUGGCCUAUGUCGAGCUGGCUCCCGGUGCCAACCCCAAGCUCGCCGAACUUCAAGAGCACGACCUAGUGGAUUCCCAAGCCGGCGAAGAAGCACUUCAUGACGUGGAUACCUCUCAACUGAAGGAGAUACUGAACAUAAUUCCUGACCCGUGACAACAGUUUUUUUGCCUUAACUCCAUCUCAGAGAUCUACCUUCUAUCAACAGAUGGAAAUUUAUCGUCAUGGGCUGGGAAGAUAAUGGAGACUUCUACACAUGUUCCUUCGUUCCUCCAGAGAAAUAAAGAAGAUAUGGAAGCUGGGGCUUCAAUUGUAUCACCCACACUUAGUAUACUCACAUGGAUAUAGUUAUAAGUCAAAUCACAUACACAUAUUGUGCUCAUUUCACAAUGUAAUGUAGGACUAGUUAACUGUUAGUCAUUGUAACAUGUUUGACUGAGAUAAAGCUUCAUUGCACCUUUCAUUCUCCUUAUGUGCUCAUUUUAGUAAUAGUUACUAGGUUCUAGGGCUAGAGUUGUAACUAGAUGAAGCUUCAUUGUAACUAGAUUUGUAGUGGAGUUGAAGGCCGAACUAUUUUAUGUGGUGCAUGUUUGUAAAGUUUCUACAAUGAUGCUUAUUGCUUAAAUGACCGGGACUAUUUAACAUAA